rnacentral:lncRNA from 1 species
CAGGACGCAGACCAUGACUACUUUUGCCUCUGCACGUCUGUUCUGAUUUCUUUCUUCAUGUGGGAUGCCUCUCUAUCCUUCUCCUGCUUUUAAUAUGGAGCUUCAGUCUCUAAGCUAAAAGGCCAAGUCCAGAUUCACCUGCCAAUGAAGCUCUUUAAAUUAUCUCUUCUUUCUCAGGACUCACUGGCUAUCAGACAUUACUUUAGGUGAAGACUUUCCAGUCUGACUUCCCUCACCUGAGGCUGAAGAGAAAGAGGAGGUGUUGGUCUUGAUGUCUCAGGGCAGGCAGAGGUGGAAGAGAAUCUGCGUGUAAAGCGCCUGCAGAAUUCAAACCCAUGUUGUUCAAGGGUCAACUGAAGUCUUGAUAAUUGGUAAAAGGGUGCAUUUUAAGUGUUGUCACCACAAAAAAUAGUAAGUAUGUGAUGAAAUGCAUACAUUAAAUCAGCUCAAUUUAGCCAUUCCACAAUGUUUACAUAUUUGAAAACAUAAUGUACAAAAUAUAUAUAAUUUUAUUUAUCAAUUAAAAUGGAUAAAAACUUUAAUGAAUUUAAAUAACUACACACAAUUUCAUAGACAAUUUGAGGCUCUACUGUGUUGGACUGAAAUAGAAAAUUUUCUGCCUUAUUAUCAGUCUCUUCCAUUAGAGGGAGAAGGAAAAAAAGUCUGUUCUUAUUUUUAUGUCUGAGAUUGAAAUUUUUUUUUUCUGUCGUUUUCCAUUCUCUUAGGGAGACUAGAAUAUAGGCAAUAUGUUAAACAAAAGUCUUCUUCCUAAAUAGAAAUUAUUAUUUCUCUAAUGCCAGCCAUCGUAAGCAGAAUUGAAGUUGCCACUAGUAGAUAAUGAGCCUGAAUAUGUUGCUCUUCUCCAGAGCACAAUCAUUAAAAGUAAUUGAGCUGGUCUUGGGGAAGAGUAGGGUAAAACAGGAAAGAGAGCUUUACAUUUUUUCUCAUAUUACUUUAUUUUCAAAGGACAAAAAAGUUGCCCAAUUUCUCUUUUUACCAAAUCUUAUUAGAUUUGUGGUCUUGCUCAAACUAUUAUUAUCCAGAUACAUUUUCCACAUAGCUGGAUAUGGCCAUUAAAACUUUGGAAGUUUCAGAACAUCAAAUCUACAUACAAAGUCAAAAAUAUUUGUUAAUGAUUAUAAUUAUUCAAAAUAUAUUUUCCCUUAAGAUUUGACAGAAAUUCUAAAAAUAUAACAGCAAUAUUUAAAAAAUGAAAAUUUAAACAACCUCCCAAAGUCAAAACUUUGAAUGGGGCAAAGCGCAUGUGGAGUAAUUGCUUAUAAAGUAUUUGCAAGUGAUAUUUACAUUGUACCGUACUACCAGACUUAGGAUUUCUUCAUGGUCAAGACGGCAGUCAUACCAUUCUUGAGGAAAGUGAAAAAAAACUCCCCCAAAAUAAAACAAAGGGAAGAAAAGCAAAGUAAGAUAAUCCCCUUGUAAUAUCACCCUUCAAAUAAACAAACAGAGGCAGUAUUAAAUAUGUAGGAUGUGGACACCAGAUCCUAAUAGUUAAUAAGAACUGUCAUACUCUAAAAAAUAUGGAAAGGACAUUGUAGACCUGAGCACUUUGCAGCAGAAAACCUCAUCCUCAUUCUACAAGUUUAUAAAAAUAUAAGAAAAGAGUAUGUUUAUUGCAGCACUAUUCACAAUAGCAAAGAUUUGGAACCAACCCAAAUGUCCACAAAUGAUAGACUGGAUUAAGAAAAUGUGGCACAUAUACACCAUGGAACACUAUGCAGCCAUAAAAAAGGAUGAGUUCAUGUCCUUUGUAGGGACAUGGAUGAAGCUGGGAACCAUCAUUCUGGGCAAACUAUUGCAAAGACAGAAAACCAAACACCACAUGGUCUCACUCAUAGGUGGGAAUUGAACAAUGAGAACACUUGGACAAAGGGUGGGGAACAUCACACACCGGGGCCUGUCGUGGAGUUGGGGGAAGGGAAAGGGGUAGCAUUAGGAGAAAUACCUAAUGUAAAUGACGAGUUAAUGGGUGCAGCACACCAACAUGGCACAUGUAUACAUAUGUAACAAACCUGCACGUUGUGUACAUGUACCCUAGAACUUAAAGCAUAAUAAUAAUAAAAAAAAGAAAGAUAAAAGAAAAGAGUAAUGGUUGGUCCAAGUUAGGGUCCCAGACCAAGUAACUAAAAGGUUUAAUACCUUCUUAAAAUAGCUUUGAAAAUUUUUAUUUUUAAAACUUCUUCCUUCUUGAAUUAAAAGUUGCAGUUUCCUCCUUUUUGUUUUCACAUCAGAUAGCAUUUACUUGAGUUUCUAGCUCUUUUAUAUUACUGAUUAAUAACCUAAUAUUAUAUUUUCUUUUUUUUCCAGUCCUAUCUUAAUCCUUAAAAAAAAAUCCAGGCAAACUUUUUUUUUCCCUUGGUGUCCUAACCGUGUAUUUUUGUAAAACUAGUGAAUACGUUAGCCGGGCGCGGUGGCGGGCGCCUGUAGUCCCAGCUACUCGGGAGGCUGAGGCAGGAGAAUGGCGUGAACCCGGGAAGCGGAGCUUGCAGUGAGCCGAGAUUGCGCCACUGCAGUCCGCAGUCCGGCCUGGGCGACAGAGCGAGACUCCGUCUCAAAAAAAUAAAAAAAAAAAAAAAACUAGUGAAUACGGCUGCUCAUUUAUUUUUCAGAUCUCUCUGAUGCAGAAAUGUUUCAAAGGGAUAAACUACAGACAGAAUUCUAAUUUAACUAUUUGCAAAGUACUACUCUUUUGCCAAAAAUGAUUGAACUUCAAAGCCUUCCUAAAACAUCAUACAUAAUUUAUUUUAGGGGAAGAAAACAAUAAAAUCCAGGAUGAGGGCUGGAACAAUGGUAUUUUAAAUAAGCUGUAGUGACAAGUAAAGUAUUUGCUUGGAGAUGAAUAUACUUUUUAUCACAAACCAUUUUUAAAAAUUUAUAAAUCUAGUAAUAUUGGAGAAUUAAUGAUUACAAGAAUUUGUGGAGUACAGGAAAGAGCAAAUAAUUCACUAUGAUUGCCUUUCCCUUUUUUCUUAAACUAGGCAAUUAAUUGUUUCUUCAUCAUACAUUCCAAUCACAGAUUUCUAAUUGGUUUUUGACUUAUAUAUCAUGAUGGGUUGAUUAACAAUUCUCUAAUCAAGAUUGCAUAGUGUUCACGUGUGUUCAAUAAUUCAGCAAUUCGUCUGGGAGAUGUAAUGGGACCCUGGGAUCUGGUUGACAUUCAGUGACUGCUGAAAGCUCCAGAAUACUUUAUGCCUAAAUUGCCCUCAAAUUCCUUAAUGAAGAGUCAGCAAGAUUCCACAAAAUGCACUCCUUGCUAUACUUUCAAGAUCAAAAGAAAAGCUUGUAUAUUAAUGAGAAAACACAGCCAUUUGUAUUGUCCGGAAAAAUCUAUAUGUGAAAUGUUGAAAAAUAUGUAUAAAAUAAAAGCACUUAGUAAUGGACAUCAUCUAUGUUGUAAGCACCUCAUAAACAACAAUACUGAAAUAAAAUUCCUUUGAAGUGUUGGACUUUUAAUACACUAUAUAAAUGCUCAUUAAAAAGUGAUUUUCCUGACAAAAAUCAAACGUCAUUUUCAGGCAAUUUUUCACUCAGUUUGAGAAACAAUAGUACAAGAAGUUAAAACUGGGUCUGAAAUUAAUCUACGCAAUUGCAUAGUUUCAGUGUGCUUUGUUUAAUCUGCCACUUUUAAGAGGGUUAACUUGAAAAAAUAAAAUUUAGAAAGUUCUAGGUGCCCAGACAGGGCAAGGUGUGAGAGUUCUGUUUUUAAAAGCCAUUUGGUUUGUUAAUUCACAAAGACUGCUUAUUAUCUAUGUCUUUUAUUUUAUUUGUGUAGCCUUAUAUUUUUAACAUUUAUUGAGUAUUUACAAAUAUUAUGUUAAACCACUUCUACAUUUAGAUAGAUACUGAUUUCUGAAUAAAUACUUCUCACAUGUAAAUCCCUAAAUACAUUUCAAAGAAAUGUAGAGAUCCUUUUAUUUUUUAUCCAAAAGAAAUGUUCUCAAAAAGUUUACCUUGAAGUGAAUUCCUGUAAAGUAAUUCCUGUUUUGUUACUGAUUUACAUUGAAAACUAAUGGGUUAAUACCGCUUUAUGAUCUUUUAGUUAACAUGCAAUUUAUUAAUUUGUGGUCAAAUAAUAUGUAUCUUACAUGAGGUAGAGACUGAAGGUUGACUCAUGAUACAUUCUUCUCUUCUUUUUGAGCACGUAGGUAAGCUACAUAUUCUGUCCUCUAUUAAUGUUAAGUAUAUUCAUGCGAUUAUGUUUCCUCAGUGGAGGGAGUUGAAAGUGAUGCUUACAACUUCCAGACCUGGUCCCCAAGACAGUGAUAUACCUCCUGUACUCUCUCCCCUUCCUGCCAUCCAGAACUCAUGAUGAUGUAGUUUUGGCUAUGGAGAAGAUGGCAAUUUAUUGAAUGAUGGCACAAAACAAAGGAAGGAAACUUCAUUCUGGAAUGACUUCGUAAGGCAAAUUCACCCACAGACCUAACCACUCACUUCAAAUGUAACACAAGAGAGACAUAUACUCUUCUUUUCCAAGUCCAUUGUUGUUGGGUCUCCUUGUUAAAGUAGUCUAGUUUUACCCUAGGUAAUACAACCAUGAAAGAGAUCUAUCCAGCCCAUAAUAUUCCUGGAGCUCUCUUAGGCAAGUUGUGUUGUGCCUCGUAGGUGCAAUCUCUUAAAACAUUUCUAUCAUUGAAACCUCAGCUAUAAGAUAAUCCAAAUGUUCUUAUCAGAAUUUUUAAUUACUAAAUCAUACAAUCUAGGUUUAGUAAAUUUUUGUGAAAGCAAACCAAAACAAAACAAAAUGCUCAGAACCUCUUUAGAAGGCUUCAUGUAAGGGGAGUGGUUCUGGGAUUUGAGAAGACUAGGUUGCUCCUGGGAAGACAGAGAUUUUCUUAGGCUUUAGAAUAUGGAAAAAAAAAAUGCUGUUGUUCAGGAAUGAGUUAGCUGAGCAGACUUGAUGUCCUCAAAUCCUGCACAUUCCCAAGGACCUAAUUUCAUGACUGGUCUUUGGCCAGUUCUUGGAAACUGAGUUAUUGGAAUUGAGACCUUUAUCCAUACUAUACCAUUAUGUCAAGAUAGUUUAAACAAACAGUGGGAUUUAUGGUCAACAAUUGCUUUUCUUCUGGAAGUCUAUAGCUUCAGUGACUGAAAUCAGUUAUGUAGACACUAUGUACAUAGGCUCAGAUGGGCUUCCUAGGCAGGCAACACUUUGCACAUGCUAUCCCAACUUACCGGAGGAAUCAAUUUUGUCCUGUGAGACUGCUGAGAGAGGACUUGGAUACUUGCACCUAUGUCCUUCAGACUACACCUCAUGUGGCUUUCCCCUUUACUGUUACUGCUUUGUAUCUUCUUGUUGAAAAAAAAAUCAAAACUAUGACUAUAAGGACUUCUGAGUCUUGUGUGUCUUUUUAGUGAGUCAUCAAGUCUGAGUAUGGUCCAACACAGCAAUUCUUUUGAACUUGUUUUGUCAUAGAUAAUUAGGUUACUGACCUAAUUUCCCUCUUGGAAUUGGUUGUUAGAAGUCUCAGUUUCAAAAGGAUAGUCUGCCUUCAAGAAUCCCACACCGUCUUUCAUUUUUGGCCUAUACUGUUCUCAGAAAGAGUCUGCAAGAACCUAGGGCUUUGCAGUCUUCAAAAGCAAGAGGUUACACUGGUGUAAAAGAAAUAAGCUGCUAAAUAAAAAACUGCCUUAGUAGCCCUUUAGUGAUCAUGCAGAUUUGGAGCAGUUAGUAGAGUAAACAAUCCAAAUGGCAAGUUUAUGUUCACAACUACCCUGUAACUCCAAUCAACAGAGCUCUAAGUCGGCACAGUUCAACAAAUUAGACAGCUAGUUGGAAUAAACUCAUAUUAAGGCAACUAAUUAUUUAGUUGAUGAAUUAUACUUUUAAAUGCCACAGAGGGACCAGGAAUUAUUCUUUACAGAGUACUCAUAAAUACAUGUGUGUGUGUG